AGUGAACGCUGGCGGUAGGCCUAACACAUGCAAGUCGAACGGCAGCACAGUAAGAGCUUGCUCUUACGGGUGGCGAGUGGCGGACGGGUGAGGAAUACAUCGGAAUCUACUUUUUCGUGGGGGAUAACGUAGGGAAACUUACGCUAAUACCGCAUACGACCUACGGGUGAAAGCAGGGGAUCUUCGGACCUUGCGCGAUUGAAUGAGCCGAUGUCGGAUUAGCUAGUUGGCGGGGUAAAGGCCCACCAAGGCGACGAUCCGUAGCUGGUCUGAGAGGAUGAUCAGCCACACUGGAACUGAGACACGGUCCAGACUCCGACAGGAGGCAGCAGUGGGGAAUAUUGGACGAUGGAGGCAAGCCUGAUCCAGCCAUACCGCGUGAGUGAAGAAGGACUUAGGGUUGUAAAGCCCUUUUGUUGGGAGAGAAAAGCAGCAGGUUAAUACCCCGCUGUUCUGACGGUACCCAAAGAAUAAGCACCGGCUAACUUCGUG
rnacentral:rRNA from 1 species